GCCCCGGGAAGCUCGGGUGGCCGGCUCGGCGCGCUCCCACGGCCCCUCGGGCGGCUGGCCCGGGACCCUGCGCCCGGCGCGCUGCGCUGCCGGCUGCCCCUCAGCGUUCCGUACUCCAGACCCGACAGGCCCCGGAGGCCUGCUCCGCUUGGCCCCACUCCCGCCGCCCUCUUCCUGGGCAGAGGGUCGCCCGCCUACACCAAAGUUUGCGCCCUAUGGACAUUCCGUGUAAAAGGAGUCCUCGAAUAUGUGGUCCUUUGGGACUGCCUUCUCACUCAGCAUGAUGUUUUCAGGGUUCCUGCAACCUGUGGCGUGUUAUCAGUGUCUCGUUCUUUUUAUUGCCGAAUAAAAAUCUCAUUGUCUAAGUA